rnacentral:tRNA from 1 species
AAGGACUUAAGUUAAUUAAACUAAUAGCCUUCAAAGUUAUAAAUAAAAGAAUUCUUUUAGGCCUUA